UCACACACACACACACACACACACACACACACACACACACACACACGGACGAAGAUCAUGUGGCAGUGGAGGCAGAGAUGGCAGUGACGCAGCUGUAAGCCCAGAAACACCGAGGACAGCUGGCAGCCACCAAAAGCCAAAAAGAUGCAACAUGCUAGGAAGAGGGAAGGACAUGUUGUUCUCACCUCACAGUGAAAUUGAGGGUCAGGUGCAGAAGAGAGGUAUAAAUUGUCUUUGAAAAGAAGAUGGUGGAAGAGUCCCAGAGAGAGGACUGCUUUGGUAUCCAGCAGCCAGCUUUUCAGAUGGGAGAAGAGUUUGGUGGAGACAAGAUCUGAAACACAAAUGGAAAAUGUAAUAACCUCCUGAAAGAAUUCUGGAGGAGUGCAUGGCAAAUUCCUGCCUGGAGAAUCCCA